AGAUUGAACGCUGGCGGCAUGCCUUACACAUGCAAGUCGAACGGCAGCACGGGAGCAAUCCUGGUGGCGAGUGGCGAACGGGUGAGUAAUACAUCGGAACGUGCCCAAUCGUGGGGGAUAACGCAGCGAAAGCUGUGCUAAUACCGCAUAAGAUCUACGGAUGAAAGCAGGGGAUCGCAAGACCUUGCGCGAAUGGAGCGGCCGAUGGCAGAUUAGGUAGUUGGUGAGUAAAGGCUCACCUAAGCCUUCGAUACUGUAGCUGGUCUGGAGAGGACGACCAGCCACACUGGGACUGAGACACGGGCCCAGACUCCGUACGGGAGGCAGCGAGUGGGGAAUUUUGGACAAGUGGGCGAAAGCCUGAUCCAGCAUGCCGCGUGCGAG
rnacentral:rRNA from 1 species